AGUUUCUCUUUGGAAUGAGGAUGAACUUGUCUCUAAUGCCUGUGCAUAUUUAUGUCGUGUCUUUUCUCUUAUCUUCUCUUCUGUACACUUCGCUCUUUUUUCUGGUCGAUCGGUGGAUUUUCUCUGACCUUCAGCAGCUCAGAGACCAAACGCUGCCUUCUGCCUCAUUUGAAAGUCACUUUGGAUAAAAAAACUUUCAUAAAUGGGAAACAUGUAAAUUCACCUUUCUGUUCAAAGGCAGCCUGAAGGUCAGACACGUCUUUCUCUGGCUGGAAGACUGGGAAAGGUCGAACAGAUCCCAUAGUGCUCCAGUUCAUCUGAGGAGAAACAGCAGAUGAAUCCAACAUAAAGAACAGAGAAACGUCCCAGAAGACUGAGGGAAGGAGGCAGGGGGACACUCCGGAUGGGGAGACACCCAGGAGACGCCCAGGAGACACCCAGGAGACGCCCAGGAGAUGCCCAGGAGACACCCAGGAGAUGCCCAGGAGACACCCAGGAGACGCCCAGCUCCACAUCUGCCCUGAUGUUUACAUUAAACUCUUUCACGUCUAUAAAACCUCCUGUAACAGUUCAGAUCAAAGGCAGCAAUAAAAUGGAUAUUACCUUUAAACUGCAUUAAUUUAUAACAUGUAAUAAACAUUCACUGGUUCAUUGUUACAGAAGUUCAGAUCUCUUUAUCUUUAUUUGUGUAACAGAAACUUACAUUAAUGAUAAAUGGCAAUAAACAGCAUUUGGGGAUUUAAA